CUGAGUGAGGGCCUCCGGCCCGACCUCCAACCCUUUGUGAUUAAACCAAUGUUGCCUCGGGGGUGACCCGGGCCUCGCCCGUGAACCCCCGGUGGACCACUUCAAAACACUGCAUCUUUGCGUCGGAUCAAACAAGUUUAAUUUGAUUA
rnacentral:misc_RNA from 1 species